rnacentral:rRNA from 1 species
UACGAAGGGGGCUAGCGUUGCUCGGAAUCACUGGGCGUAAAGCGCACGUAGGCGGCUUGUUAAGUCAGGGGUGAAAUCCUGGAGCUCAACUCCAGAACUGCCUUCGAUACUGAGAGUCUCGAGUCCGAGAGAGGUGAGUGGAACUGCGAGUGUAGAGGUGAAAUUCGUAGAUAUUCGCAAGAACACCAGUGGCGAAGGCGGCUCACUGGCUCGGUACUGACGCUGAGGCACGAAAGCGUGGGGAGCAAACAGG